rnacentral:lncRNA from 1 species
UUUGAAUACAUAAGUUAUAUAAAUUAAAAAAUAUAUAUGAAUACAUUCAUGGCAUAUAGCGAGAUAGUGAAUACAAUAAAAUAAUAAAAUACAUCAGAAUAUAUUGAAAUACAAUAAAAUGGGACAGUGAAUACAAUAAAAUACAUGGAAUACAGCGAGAUACAUAAUUACAAUAAAAAAAGAAGUAGUGAAUAUAAUAAAAUACAUAAAAGUACAGCGUGAUACGUUGAAAAUACAUUGAAAUAUAUUAACAGAAAAUCAAGUUGCUCAUCCACAAACUUCAUCGUCUUUGUUCAAAAACAAAUCCUAAUUUCCGGCGAAUCAUCCUUCCCACCUCCACCAACACCCUUAUUUUCUUUAAAAACAUCACCAGUCUCUUAUUUUUCUUGUUUAGACCAACACCCAGCAUCAAGAAACUGCAUUUAUCUACUCUCAACACUUUCUACUUCUUCAUUGAACAGUAAUUGAUCAGUUUCAAAAAAAAAAAUUCACAAGUCAGAAGACGAUGGCUCUGAAUCUUUGCUAUUGUUGUUGUUAUUUGUGGAGAAGAAAUGGGAGUUGUUGGGGAAGAAACAUGGCUUGGGAUGGAAAAAGAAGGUAAAGUGGAAAUGGAUUUAGGGUUUAAGAAGUGGAUUUUGGAAGGAAGGACGGUUAAGAGUUGGAGGUGUCAGGAUUUGGAGAUGAAAUGAGAGAGCAAUGCGUAGAGACUUGACAAACAGAAACAGAGGAAGAUGGAUGCAAGAGGAGCCCUCAGUUCUGUUUUAAGGGAAUAGGAAAAUAGAAUGUCAUGUAUCAAAGUAUAGAGAGACAAAACACAAUGUAACUAUAUAGUAUAUUUAGUAAUUU